UCAUUUCACCUUGAUAUUUCCCUCUGCAUUGUUUCCUGUAAAUGCUCAAUAUUGUGAAUCCUGAGAUGCCUCUGAGUGGCUGUGUGCAGAAGUUCAAUGCAGAAGCAGAACUGGUUAAGGGGACAUGCACCAAAUUAAGUUGGAUGAGUUGGCCUGACACUGCUUUUACAGAACAGACUUUCUUGGUGGCAAUCAGAAGGAAAAUCAGAGUCAGAUAGAGGUGCUCUUUUAUGGGCUAUUAGGUUAAAUGGAGAACAAUAGCCAGUGACGCAACAAGGGAAUUGCAAGAUGAAUGAGUAUCUGGUAUGCAGACUUCAAGUGAAUUGAAAGUUCCAUCUUGAGUUGAGGUUUCAACAAGUGUUCUUCCUGGAUCUGGGUGUCUAGUGAGAUGCUUUCCAAGGAUACAGAAAAUCAGUCAUUGUGAUAACAUAGAUAUUAAGCCGCACAAGUUUGAAACACUUCUGUCAAAGACAUCUGUUCUGCAAGUAUAGGGUGGUCCAAGGCAAUGUAAGAAGGCAGGCUCUGGAUGUAACAACUGUCAAGAAACCCAAUUCCAAACACCAGCUGUACUGAUUAGGGCAGUAUAGUAUUCUGCACUGUGAGAGCUAAUGAGCCAACAGAAAACUAUGAAUUACCAUUAAAGUUGCUUUUAAGCUGUUUCCUUCACAGUGUAUCAGCUAGACAACCUUCCUACUUCCCUGUAACCCAGUACAAAAUCCUCUGUCUGUAUCAUACUCUGCAAGUAUCAUUGAUCAUGAUCUCUAUCAAGCGUUCUUAAGAGUACAGUACCCAUGGUCUGAAGUGAAGAAACAGAUUGACAGAGCCAGAAGAAUAUCCAGAAGUCACUACAGGACAGGCCCAACAAAGAAAGUAACAGAAUGCCACUAACCGUCACCUUCAGCCCCCCUACUAAAACCUCUCCAGCGCAUCAUCAAGGAUCUACAACCUAUCCUGAAGGACGAUCCCUCACUCUCACAGAUCUUGGGAGACAGGCCAGUCCUCACUUACAAACAGCCCCCAACCUGAAGCAAAUACUCACCAGCAACCACACACCACACAACAAAAACACUAACCAAGGAACAUAUCCUUGCAACAAAGCCCGUUGCCAACUCUGUCCACAUAUCUAUUCAAGGGACACCAUCACAGGACCUAAUCACAUCAGCCUCACCAUCAGGGGCUCGUUCACCUGCACAUCUACCAACGUGAUAUAUGCCAGCAUGUGCCAGCAAUGCCCCUCUGCCAUGUGCAUUGGCCAAACUGGACAGUCUCUACGCAAAAGAAUAAAUGGACACAAAUCAGACAUCAAGAAUUAUAACAUUCAAAAACCAGUCAGAGGACACUCAAUUACAGACCUAAAAGUCACAAUUCUUCAACAACAAAAAUCUUCAAAAACAGACUCCAACGAGAAACUGCAGAACUGGAAUUAAUGUGCAAACUGGACACCAUUAAAUUAGGCUUGAAUAAAGACUGGAGUGGAUGGGUCAUUACACAAACUAAAAUUUAUUUCCCCAUGCUAAUUUUCACCUGACUGUUACUCACACCUUCUUGUCAACUGUUUGAAAUGGGCCAUCCUGAUUAUCACUGCAAAAGUUUUUUUUCUCCUGCUGAUAAUAGCCCACCUUAAUUAAUUAGUCUCGUUAGAGUUGGUAUGGCAACCCCCAUUUUUUUGUGUUCUCUGUAUACAUGUAUCUUCCUACUGUAUUUUCCACUGCAUGCAUCUGAUGAAGUGGGUUUUAGCCCACGACAGUUUAUGCUCAAAUAAAUUUGUUAGUUUCUAAGGUGCCACAAGUACUCCUCAUUCUUUUUGAUAACAGAGAGAUACUCUCCAGAUCCAGUUGAGAUGGUUAUACUUCAUAGUUACUAAAGCUUCAAUUUUUCAUUGGAAAUAAUAUUCACUGUAAAUAACAUUCAUAGUAGCCUCCUAUUUUGCUGGCAAAUCAAGCCUGAUUUUGACAUACAUAUGUACUACUGUAUAUUCAUUAUUUGUACAGCAAAUAUUUACCAAAUAGUUUAUUCAAAUACAUUUCAACCUAUGAGUUGUUCAACUUUUUCCUGAUGUCUAUCUACUUCCAACACUUCCACCUGUACUGGGGUUUCAUAUUCUGUUUCCACUGGAUACUGAUACAUUUUCCUCUGUACCUGAUUAACUUUAAAAAUGUAAUUGUCACAUCAUUACUAAAAAUUCACAAAUGGUAUUUAGCCCAGUCUACAAAUUAAUCAAUUUUGAAAGAUUUUCUUGUUUGCUAAAGGUUGUAUAAUUGUUUUUCUGCUUUUUUGUGACUCUUUAUUUAUCCUUUCAUAUAUAUGAA